UACAGAGGUCCCAAGCGUUGUUCGGAUUCAUUGGGCGUAAAGGGUGCGUAGGUGGCGCGCUAAGUCAGGUGUGAAAUUUCGGAGCUUAACUCCGAAACUGCAUUCGAUACUGCCGUGCUUGAGGACUGGAGAGGAGACUGGAAUUUACGGUGUAGCAGUGAAAUGCGUAGAUAUCGUAAGGAAGACCAGUGGCGAAGGCGGGUCUCUGGACAGUUCCUGACACUGAGACACGAAGGCCAGGGGAGCAAACGGG
rnacentral:rRNA from 1 species